AACGCACAUUGCACUCUCUGGUAUUCCGGAGAGUAUGCUUGUUUGAGUAUCUGUAAACAUCUCAAAUCUCCUAGCGCUUGCGUUGGGAGAAUUGGAUUUGAGCGAUCCCGACUCCUUCGUCAGAAAGAGGAGGGUCGCUUGAAAUGCAGGUGCAGCUGGACAUUCUUCUGAGCUAAAAGCAUAUCUAUUUAGUCCCGUCAAACGGAUUAUUACUUUUGCUUCAGCUAAUAUAAAGGUCGAAUGAACUACCAACGCUGAUUGCAGGAAAACUCGUUUGUAACAGAACUUGUAAACUCGAUCUCAAAUCAAGUAAGACUACCCGCUGAACUUAA
rnacentral:misc_RNA from 2 species